CCCCCCCCGCCGCGCCCGCCGGGGAAACUCUGCUGUCAGCGGCCCCGUCGGGGGGCGGCCGAGGGGGCGCCUCGCCCAGCAGUUGUCGCUGGGCAGCGCUGCCGGCCCGCCGCCGCGGGGAUCGCAUCCUGCCCCGAGCUGGGCUGGAAAAAUCUAGCCCUUCUUGUCACGUAAAGGAAAAAGCAGAAGUGGCCCACCCUGUGAACUGAACAAGGCAGCAGUCCUAUUGAAAUACUACCAUGUAAAUCAGUCACCCAGAAUUACGGAGCCAGUGAGUAAAUGGAAAAGGCAACGUUAUUCUCCUUCUGUGUAUCUGCUGUUCUCCUGUACCCACAAGGUGAAAGGAUUAAUGGGGUCUAGUCCUGUGAUGACCUUCUGCUACUGCUGUAAUACCGGCUUCUGCAAUACCUUCUCUAUGGAUUUCAACGAGCGAAGGCAGGACAGCCUUUCCAUUUAAGCAGGCAUACCCCAAUAGCCUCGCCAGGAUCACAGGGGCAAAGCUAUUCCACCAGAAGCACUUCCCAAAUUCAGAUUGCUCAGAUGCCACUUGCUCCUGGCAAUGCUACCUGACGGGUGACUCUUGCACUGGUGGGAUGCUCACCACAGUUUCUGAAUUCUGCCUGUGCUCCACGGUCCCCUCACAGCUAAUGUUGCACUCUCUGCAAAGGUAAUAGGCGAUACAAAUCACUGCUUGUUAUUAUUUCUGACUCCCAAAUACCUUCUCUUCCUUCUUUCUCUGCAAAGCUUGAAACACCGCAUUCAGGUCACAGCCUCGUCAAUAAGACAGAAGCAUUUGGCCCCAAUAUGGCAAUGUGAAAUCAGGGACAAGUGAACAUAAUUCCUACUCUGUCAACGCAACGAGUGUUCAUACCUAUGGUGAGCACAGAGGUAGAGACAGCUGUCACACCUAACAGCUUGAACCCUCCUUUUGGGGAAUACGACUCUUUUUAAGUGUUUGUGCUCGUAUACAGCAACUCAUUUGCUUUGUGAGUCAGGAACAGUUAAUUUCUCCCUAAAUUAAAAUUCAGAACGUCUCUUUUGGCCAAAGACUUCAGUCCUUUAAAAGAGGAGGAGGAUAUUAACAGAUAAGGUAUCCUUAAAAAUAUACUAAUCUUUGCUCCCAUCAGUCCUGAUGCUAUAUCUUUAACCAGCCAAAUCAACAUCAACUUUGCUGCCCAGUCCUCCAGGCAGAGAACAGCUUUGCUACAACUGCAUGUUCCCCCUUGAGUCUUAGCCAGCAGGAGAGUUUUAUUUAUUUUUCCUUAGGCCAGACUCGCGCCGUUCCUCUCACGCAUUCGUGAUGCAGGAACAGCCAAAGGAAACGGCUGUGUUUUGGAUCAGCCUCCCACGUGCAGUAGAGUAGCUUCUGGGUUGUUUAAUCUGAC
rnacentral:lncRNA from 1 species